rnacentral:rRNA from 1 species
GACGAACGCUGGCGGCGUGCUUAACACAUGCAAGUCGAACGGAAAGGCCCUGCUUUUGUGGGGUGCUCGAGUGGCGAACGGGUGAGUAACACGUGAGUAACCUGCCCUUGACUUUGGGAUAACUUCAGGAAACUGGGGCUAAUACCGGAUAGGAGCUCCUGCUGCAUGGUGGGGGUUGGAAAGUUUCGGCGGUUGGGGAUGGACUCGCGGCUUAUCAGCUUGUUGGUGGGGUAGUGGCUUACCAAGGCUUUGACGGGUAGCCGGCCUGAGAGGGUGACCGGCCACAUUGGGACUGGGGUACGGCCCAGACUCCUACGGGAGGCAGCAGUGGGGACUAUUGCACAAUGGGCGGAGGCCUGAUGCAGCAACGCCGCGUGCGGGAUGACGGCCUUCGGGUUGUAAACCGCUUUCGCCUGUGACGAAGCGUGAGUGACGGUAAUGGGUAAAGAAGCACCGGCUAACUACGU